GUUGUUUGGUUAGUGAACCAUGCAUAUUAUUGAAAGUAUAUACUUGUAUUCGGAUCAAUUAAGUGUAAACUUUUGGUACUGUAUUAUGUUAAAGAUGUUAGAGUCUGGUGUAGAAAGAGAUAUUUGAGUGUCACUUAUCUCAUCCAAAAAACUUGGGAUCAUGGUGAAUAUAAUAUUCAUCGGGGUGGCCGGCCAUUCAGAUUUGGGAGAAGGGGAAGACUAAUGGUUGGAUGCGUUUGGUUGCUUUUGAACUCGGCAUCGUCGGCAAUGGCUUUCUCGUGCAUGGCUAUGGUUCAGUGCACAAACUCAAAACAAUGUUUCUCUCCCUCUCUGAACAACAUCUAUCAAUAGAUCUGUCAAUACAAAACUCUCAAUUUCACACAGCAUAGACUCUCUCUGUUUUUCUCUCUCACAACCGUGAUGGUUUUCU
rnacentral:lncRNA from 1 species